GCUCUGCUGGCGUAGUGGUUAGAGCAUCUGCCUCAGAUGUAGGAGGUUGUAGGUUUAAACCCUGGUCAAGUCA